rnacentral:rRNA from 1 species
UACGUAGGGUGCGAGCGUUGUCCGGAUUUAUUGGGCGUAAAGCGCACGUAGGCGGUUCGUUAAGUCGGAUGUGAAAGCCCUCGGCUCAACUGAGGAAGUGCACCCGAAACUGGCGAGCUUGAGUACGAAAGAGGAUCGCGGAAUUCCCGGUGUAGAGGUGAAAUUCGUAGAUAUCGGGAGGAACACCGGUGGCGAAGGCGGCUCUCUGGGACGGUACUGACGCUGAGACGCGAAAGCGUGGGGAGCAAACAGG